UAUUUUGGUCCUAACAAUCGUGACACAAGUCAUUAACUCAAAAAAGUACUUAGAAUACAGUCCUUCAGUGCAAGAAUCCCAAAGGCAAAGAACCCAAGGGACAAUUAUUCCUGUGACUAUCAGUUUCACUUUGACAACUUUCUCAUCUCCUUUUAUAUCCACCUCUCAAUUCUCAAGAAGCAAGACCCGGAAUACCACAACCGUCCUAAACUCUUGCACAACCAUGGGCUAAUAUAGAUUUAACACCCACAACUGUAAUAGUGUACUUCUUCCUUGGAAAAAGGGACCCUUGUCUUGGACACCUUUCCCAACUUGAUUUCUCUUCCCUAGCUUUGCAAAAUUCGAACAAGUCACAUUCGGUAUUUUCUAGCAAAGUGAUUGGGUUAGUCCUUUGCUCAUCUAUUUAAUAGGUCUAGUUUCUCAUAAUUAGAUCAAGCAUUUACAUUGACGAAAAAAAUCCUGAAUUUUUACACCACUGAGAUAAAGUUGGGAUCAAGAGCGCUCCUUUGUUACAAAAAACAAAAAAUCUUGUCUGGUUUUGAAGCAUCUUUUCACAAAGUCAAGAUACUUAACUUGUGUGUAAUGAGGAUGAAGGAGAAAUGUCGAGAAAUUAAGAAGUUGGGACCAACGAUAGCAAAUCAAAGAUAAAGAAGGAAGUUAAGAAUGAGGAACCCGUGAGCAACAUUCAAGCUCAUUGGGAGAGUAGAAAUGGUUAUUCCGGCGGUUAGUGAGGAUUCAUUGCUAAAGAAAGUUGGUGUGCGAAAGAGUUAGAACUCCAAUCAGUUCAGCAGCUCAAGGUUGCAACAACCUGGAAAGAUCACUAAGACAAUUGCCUGUUACAAUAUGUGUAAAUUGCAAAUCAACAUACUUGAAGAAUAAGCUGAUAAAUUUCGUCAUGGAAAAUAAAUAUAACGGGAAGCAACUACGCUAACCUAUGAACAAAUAUUUCUAUGUGAUCUUAUAGGGUUCUAUUAUCAGAAAGUGGAAGGGGAACUUUACACUUCACAUACUUCAGUUGCAGGUAAAAGGAGUGAAGUUAUCUUAGACAAUUGCUUUGUUCAGUGUUCUUCUAUGUCUGCUUUCCUAUUGAAAUUCAUAUUUUUUGUUUAUGAGUAUUGUUAUUGUUGUAGUGAGCAGAUUUUGUUCAAUUUACUUGUGAGGGUAAUUCAUUUUUGAAGAGUCAAUACACAUGGAAGGCAUGGACCUUGUUCCUUAAUGUGUUAUUGAUGCAAUGGGUGCAUAUAAAAAUACUGAAAAAAGUUGUAUAUUGCUGGAACGGGUCGAGAAUGAAGAAACAUCUCAAAAACUUUUGGAACACUAUCCCUCUUUGCAUUUUUUUGUCAUUACAGAAAGAAAGAAAGAAACAAUAUGUAUUUUGGAACAAAUACUCACCAAUACACUCGAUCAUAUUUGGAGCAGUACAUAUAAUUCUUGGUGAAACCUCAAGAUUGUGUGAUGUAAAUAUUUUUAACGACUUUAUGGAAUCCCUUUUAUAAUCACCAAA